rnacentral:rRNA from 1 species
AAUGAACGUUGGCGGCAUGGAUUAGGCAUGCAAGUCGAGCGAGAAGGAAAUCAAAGUUUACUUUGGUUUCCGGAAAGCGGCGAAAGGGAGAGUAACGCGUAGUUAUCUACCCCAAGGCCCGGAGUAGCUGCGGGAAACUGCAGGUAAUGCCGGAUAAUAUCCCCGGAUCAAAGGUGUGAUUCCGCCUUGGGAGGAGACUGCGUUGUACUAGCUUGUUGGUAGGGUAAUGGCCUACCAAGGCUACGAUGCAUAGCGGGCGUGAGAGCGUGGCCCGUCUCACUGGGACUGAAACACUGCCCAGACACCUACGGGUGGCUGCAGUCGAGAAUCUUCGGCAAUGGGCGAAAGCCUGACCGAGCGAUGCCGCGUGCGGGAUGAAGGCCCUCGGGUUGUAAACCGCUGUCGUAGGGGAGAAAGGACCGUUGAAGAGACGGUUUUGAUCUAUCCUAGGAGGAAGUCCGGGCUAAGUUCGUGCCAGCCGCCGCAGUAAGAC